CCUUCAGGGAUAGCUCAGUUGGUACGAGAGCAUGAGACUCUUAAUCUCAGGGUUGUGAGUUAGGCAAAAGAUUCCUGCAUUGCAAGGG